CCUACGGGAGGCAGCAGUAGGGAAUCUUCCACAAUGGACGAAAGUCUGAUGGAGCAACGCCGCGUGAGUGAAGAAGGGUUUCGGCUCGUAAAGGUCUUUUGGUAGUGAAGAAAGAUAGAGGUAGUAACUGGCCUUUAUUUGACGGUAAUUACUUAGAAAGUCACGGCUAACUACGUGCCAGCAGCCGCGGUAAUACGUAGGUGGCAAGCGUUGUCCGGAUUUAUUGGGCGUAAAGCGAGUGCAGGCGGUUCAAUAAGGCUGAUGUGAAAGGCUUCGGGUCAACCGGGGAAAUGCAUCA
rnacentral:rRNA from 1 species